GUGGGGAGAUGUCGACUUGGAGGUUGUGCCCUUGAGGCGUGGCUUCCGGAGCUAACGCGUUAAGUCGACCGCCUGGGGAGUACGGCCGCAAGGUUAAAACUCAAAUGAAUUGACGGGGGCCCGCACAAGCGGUGGAGCAUGUGGUUUAAUUCGAUGCAACGCGAAGAACCUUACCUGGUCUUGACAUCCACGGAAGUUUUCAGAGAUGAGAAUGUGCCUUCGGGAACCGUGAGACAGGUGCUGCAUGGCUGUCGUCAGCUCGUGUUGUGAAAUGUUGGGUUAAGUCCCGCAACGAGCGCAACCCUUAUCCUUUGUUGCCAGCGGUCCGGCCGGGAACUCAAAGGAGACUGCCAGUGAUAAACUGGAGGAAGGUGGGGAUGACGUCAAGUCAUCAUGGCCCUUACGACCAGGGCUACACACGUGCUACAAUGGCGCAUACAAAGAGAAGCGACCUCGCGAGAGCAAGCGGACCUCAUAAAGUGCGUCGUAGUCCGGAUUGGAGUCUGCAACUCGACUCCAUGAAGUCGGAAUCGCUAGUAAUCGUGGAUCAGAAUGCCACGGUGAAUACGUUCCCGGGCCUUGUACACACCGCCCGUCACACCAUGGGAGUGGGUUGCAAAAGAAGUAGGUAGCUUAACCUUCGGGAGGGCGCUUACCACUUUGUGAUUCAUGACUGGGGUGAAGUCGUAAAGGGGAAACCCCGAAAACCGGUUUGGACCCCCGGUUUUUGCGGCUGAAACCUGGGGUUUC
rnacentral:rRNA from 1 species